rnacentral:tRNA from 1 species
CCUAAGGUGGUGUAGUGGUCUAGCAUUCUGACUUGACAAGGAGACCCGGGUUCGAAUCCUGGUUUUAGGA